rnacentral:tRNA from 2 species
GCCACGGUAGCUCAGUUGGUUAGAGCGCGGGACUCAUAAGCCCGAGGUCGGAGGUUCGAUCCCUCCCCGUGGCACCA